GUGCUCACUUCGGCAGCACAUGUACUAAAAUUGGAACGAUAUAGAGAAGAUUAGCAUGGCCCUUGUGCAAGGAUGAAACACAAAUUUGUGAAGUGUUACAUAUUUUUU
rnacentral:snRNA from 1 species